GACAAGUUGGAUUGACAGAUUGAUAGCUCUUUCUGGAUUCCGUGGGUGGUGGUGCAUGGCCAUUCUUAGUUGAUGGAGCGAUUUGUCUGGUUAAUUCCGAUAACGAACGAGACUCUGGCAUGACAAGUUGGAAACCCAGAGUAAUUGAUAGUGUCAUUUCUUAUUUGAGUCUGAAGUUGAGAGAAGGCUGAUUUCCCACCUUAAAGAUGGAAAACAGAGCGAAUUCUGUAUUAUACAAUUUUGUUUGACUUUGGCCUUCAGUAGAUUGGAAGAGGCCCGU
rnacentral:ncRNA from 1 species